GAUUUCUGGUCUGGUGCUCCUGGCCCAUCACGUUAGUGUUUGAGUGCCGGGCCGCGCCUGCCAUCCUUCUAGUAAACAUGGCUACCCUUCACUGGGCCGGUCAUGCGAACUAGAUCUUUUACUUUGAGAAAAUUAGAGUGUUUAAAGCAGGCAUUUGCUAUGAAUACAUUAGCAUGGAAUAAUAAUUUAGGACUUCGGUUCUAUUCUGUUGGUUUCUAUAACUGAAGUAAUGAUUGAUAGGGAUAGUUGGGGGUGCUAGUAUUGGCCGGUCAGAGGUGAAAUUCUUGGAUUCGGUCAAGACUAACUUAUGCGAAAGCAUU
rnacentral:rRNA from 1 species